rnacentral:rRNA from 1 species
GUCUAGGGCCAUGCCACCCUCAAGGCCCGCCCCUCCUAUCUCUUCUGAUCUCGGAAGCUAAGCAGGGUGGAGCAUGGUUAGUACAUGGAUGGGAGACCACCGAGGAAUACCUGAUGCUGUAGGCU